rnacentral:SRP_RNA from 1 species
GCUGGGCGUGGUGGUGCACACCUGUAGUCCUAGCUACUCAGGAGGCUGAGGCAGGAGGAUCACUUGAACCCAGGAGACUGAGGCUGCAGUGAGCUAUGAUCAUGCCACUGCACUCUAGCCUGGGCGACAGAGUGAGACCCUGUCUCAA